GGAUAGCUCAAUCAGUAGAGCAAGAGACUCUUAAUCUCAGGGUUGUGUGUUUGAGCCCCACGUUGGGUGAAAUA
rnacentral:tRNA from 1 species